GGCAAGGUGGCCGAGUGGUUAAGGCGCACGGUUCAGGCCUACCUGGACUACGCACAGUUUUCCGUGUUCUUAAUUGAGCGUGGGUUCGAAUCCCACCCUUGUCA